ensembl:lincRNA
GCCAAGAUAUCCCGCAGUAUCUCUGUUGGGGAGAACCUGGGCCUGGUGGCUGAACCUCAAGCUCAUGCCCCCAUCCGAGUCUCACCACUCAGCAAGCUGGCCCUGCCCAGCCGGGCUCACCUGGUCCUGGACAUCCCCAAACCACUGCCUGACCGUCCUACCCUGGCUGCAUUCUCUCCCGUCACCAAAGGCCGGGCCCCUGGCGAGGCAGAAAAGCCUGGCUUCCCGGUGGGCCUAGGAAAAGCUCACAGUACAACUGAGAGAUGGGCCUGUUUGGGGGAGGGCACCACUCCCAAGCCUAGGAGAGAGUGCCAGGCUCAUCCUGGGCCCAGCAGCGCCUGUGCCCAGCAACUGCCAGUCAGCAGCCUCUUCCAAGGCCCUGAAAACUUGCAGCCCCCACCCCCUGAGAAGACUCCCAACCCCAUGGAAUGCACCAAGCCAGGGGCAGCCCUGAGCCAGGACUCAGAGCCAGCGGUGAGCCUGGAGCAGUGUGAGCAGCUGGUGGCAGAGCUCCGCGGCAGCGUGCGCCAGGCAGUGCGGCUCUACCACUCGGUGGGUGUUAGGUGCCCCCCGGCAGGAGGGCGGGCACGUCAGUAGUGCUGGGUGUUUCGGAUAACCAUGUCCAGAACAGUAUGCUAAGGC